rnacentral:rRNA from 1 species
GACGUAGGGCGCGAGCGUUGUCCGGAUUUAUUGGGCGUAAAGAGCUCGUAGGCGGCUCGUUGCGUCGGCUGUGAAAACCCGCAGCUCAACUGUGGGCUUGCAGCUGAUACGGGCGGGCUGGGAUUCGGUAGGGGAGACUGGAAUUCCUGGUGUAGCGGUGAAAUGCGCAGAUAUCAGGAGGAACACCGGUGGCGAAGGCGGCUAUCUGGACAGAGUCUGACGCUGAGGCGCGAAAGCUAGGGGAGCAAACAGG